rnacentral:rRNA from 1 species
UACAGAGGUCUCAAGCGUUGUUCGGAUUCAUUGGGCGUAAAGGGUGCGUAGGUGGCGGGGUAAGUCAGGUGUGAAAUCUCGGAGCUCAACUCCGAAACUGCACUUGAUACUGCCUUGCUCGAGUACUGGAGAGGAGAUUGGAAUUUACGGUGUAGCAGUGAAAUGCGUAGAUAUCGGAAGGAACGCCGGUGGCGAAAGCGAUCGACUGGAUCUCUUCUGACGCUGAGGCGCGAAAGCCAGGGGAGCAAACGGG